AUUGAACGCUGGCGGCAGGCCUAACACAUGCAAGUCGAGCGGACGAAGGGAGCUUGCUCCUGGAUUCAGCGGCGGACGGGUGAGUAAUGCCUAGGAAUCUGCCUGGUAGUGGGGGAUAACGUCCGGAAACGGGCGCUAAUACCGCAUACGUCCUGAGGGAGAAAGUGGGGGAUCUUCGGACCUCACGCUAUCAGAUGAGCCUAGGUCGGAUUAGCUAGUUGGUGGGGUAAAGGCCUACCAAGGCGACGAUCCGUAACUGGUCUGAGAGGAUGAUCAGUCACACUGGAACUGAGACACGGUCCAGACUCCUACGGGAGGCAGCAGUGGGGAAUAUUGGACAAUGGGCGAAAGCCUGAUCCAGCCAUGCCGCGUGUGCGAAGAAGGUCUUCGGAUUGUAAAGCACUUUAAGUUGGGAGGAAGGGCAGUAAGUUAAUACCUUGCUGUUUUGACGUUACCAACAGAAUAAGCACCGGCUAACUUCGUG
rnacentral:rRNA from 1 species